GCAGCCGCGGUAAUACGUAGGUGGCAAGCGUUGUCCGGAUUUACUGGGUGUAAAGGGCGUGCAGCCGGGUCGGUAAGUCAGAUGUGAAAUCUGGAGGCUCAACCUCCAAACUGCAUUUGAAACUGCUGAUCUUGAGUAUCGGAGAGGUAAUCGGAAUUCCUUGUGUAGCGGUGAAAUGCGUAGAUAUAAGGAAGAACACCAGUGGCGAAGGCGGAUUACUGGACGACAACUGACGGUGAGGCGCGAAAGCGUGGGGAGCAAACAGGAUUAGAUACCCC
rnacentral:rRNA from 1 species